UUAUUGGAUGAUUGUACAUUUCAAUAUGUAUUAUCUUAUGUAUUACAAUAAAAUGAAGGAGAUUUUUCAAUGCGAGAUCUAAAAACAUAUCUUUCYGUGGCACCGGUACUAAGUACUCUAUGGUUCGCUUCUUUGGCAGGUUUAUUGAUAGAGAUUAAUCGUUUUUUCCCGGACCUGCUUUGAUACCAAU